rnacentral:rRNA from 1 species
AAACCAACCGGGAUUGCCUCAGUAACGGCGAGUGAAGCGGCAAAAGCUCAAAUUUGAAAUCUCCUUCGGGCGAGUUGUAAUUUGAAGAAGCGACUUUGGAGCCGGCUCUUGUCCAAGUUCCUUGGAACAGGACGUCACAGAGGGUGAGAAUCCCGUGCGAUGAGAGCCCUAACCGUGUAAAGCGUUUUCGACGAGUCGAGUUGUUUGGGAAUGCAGCUCUAAGUGGGUGGUAAAUUCCAUCUAAAGCUAAAUAUUGGCGAGAGACCGAUAGCGAACAAGUACAGUGAUGGAAAGAUGAAAAGAACUUUGAAAAGAGAGUGAAAAAGUACGUGAAAUUGUUGAAAGGGAAGGGCAUGAGAUUAGACAUGGGCCCCUCGGUGGCCCGGGCCAGCAUGGGUUGGGGGGGAACGACAAACGCGGAGGAAUGUGGCUGUUCGAGUGUUAUAGCCUCCGUCAUAGUGCCACCCCCGUCCAAGGACUGCUUACAGGAUGCUGGCAUAAU